rnacentral:rRNA from 1 species
GAUCAUGGCUCAGGAUGAACGCUAGCGGCAGGCCUAACACAUGCAAGUCGAGGGGCAGCACGUUAAAGAGUUUACUCUUUAUGGUGGCGACCGGCGGACGGGUGCGUAACGCGUAUGCAACCUGCCUGACACAGGGGGGAUAAUCCGAAGAAAUUUGGUCUAAUACCCCAUAAUACCGAUAUAGGCAUCUACGUUGGUUGAAAGCUUUGGUGGUGUCAGAUGGGCAUGCGUUGUAUUAG